GACGAACGCUGGCGGCGUGCCUAAUACAUGCAAGUAGGACGCACAGUUUAUACCGUAGCUUGCUACACCAUAGACUGUGAGUUGCGAACGGGUGAGUAACGCGUAGGUAACCUGCCUAUUAGAGGGGGAUAACUAUUGGAAACGAUAGCUAAUACCGCAUAACAGUAUGUAACACAUGUUAGAUGCUUGAAAGAUGCAAUUGCAUCGCUAGUAGAUGGACCUGCGUUGUAUUAGCUAGUAGGUAGGGUAAUGGCCUACCUAGGCGACGAUACAUAGCCGACCUGAGAGGGUGAUCGGCCACACUGGGACUGAGACACGGCCCAGACUCCUACGGGAGGCAGCAGUAGGGAAUCUUCGGCAAUGGGGGGAACCCUGACCGAGCAACGCCGCGUGAGUGAAGAAGGUUUUCGGAUCGUAAAGCUCUGUUGUUAAGGAAGAACGAGUGUGAGAAUGGAAAGUUCAUACUGGGACGGUACUAACCAAAA
rnacentral:rRNA from 1 species